UACGUAGGGGGCAAGCGUUGUCCGGAUUUAUUGGGCGUAAAGGGCGUGUAGGUGGUAUCGUAAGUCUGGCGUGAAAUUUCUCGGCUUAACCGAGGCAGGUCGUCGGAUACUGCGAGGCUAGAGGACGGUAGAGGCGUGUGGAAUUCCGGGUGUAGUGGUGAAAUGCGUAGAGAUCCGGAGGAACACCAGUGGCGAAGGCGGCUUCCUGGCCUGUUCUUGACGCUGAGGCGGCGAAAGCUAGGGGAGCAAACGGG
rnacentral:rRNA from 1 species